rnacentral:rRNA from 1 species
UACGUAGGGCGCAAGCGUUAUCCGGAAUUAUUGGGCGUAAAGAGCUCGUAGGCGGUCAGUCGCGUCUGCUGUGAAAACUCGGGGCUUAACUCCGGGCCUGCAGUGGGUACGGGCUGACUAGAGUGCGGUAGGGGAGACUGGAAUCCCUGGUGUAGCGGUGAAAUGCGCAGAUAUCAGGAGGAACACCGGUGGCGAAGGCGCUCUGCUGGCCCACAACUGACACUCACAGGACGAAAGCUAGGGGAGCGAAUGGG